UACGUAGGGUGCAGGCGUUAAUCGGAAUUACUGGGCGUAAAGCGUGCUAGGCGGUUUGUUAAGACAGGUGUGAAAUCCCCCGGGCUUAACCUGGGAACUGCGCUUGUUACUGGCAGACUGGAGUGUGGCAGAGGGGGGGUGGAAUUCCAGGUGUAGCAGUGAAAUGCGUAGAUAUCUGGAGGAACACCGAUGGCGAAGGCAGCCCCCUGGGCUAACACUGACGCUGAUGCACGAAAGCGUGGGGAGCGAA
rnacentral:rRNA from 1 species